rnacentral:rRNA from 1 species
GAUGAACGCUGGCGGCGUGCCUAAUACAUGCAAGUCGAGCGAACAGACGAGGAGCUUGCUCCUCUGACGUUAGCGGCGGACGGGUGAGUAACACGUGGAUAACCUACCGAUAAGACUGGGAUAACUUCGGGAAACCGGAGCUAAUACCGGAUAAUAUAUUGAACCGCAUGGUUCAAUAGUGAAAGACGGUUUUGCUGUCACUUAUAUAUGGAUCCGCGCCGCAUUAGCUAGUUGGUAAGGUAACGGCUUACCAAGGCGACGAUGCGUAGCCGACCUGAGAGGGUGAUCGGCCACACGGGAACUGAGAGACGGUCCACACUCCUACGGGAGGCAGCAGUAGGGACUCUUACGCAAUGGGCGAAAGCCUGACGGAGCAAAGCCGCGUGAGUGAUGAAGGUGUUAGGAUCGUAAAACUCUGUUAUUAGGGAAGAACAAAUGUGUAAGUAACUAUGAACGUAUUGACGGUACCUAAUCAGAAAGCCACGGCUAACUACGUG